CAGAACUGCAGAAGAAGCCUCCACUCAUACAAAUAACAUAAACAGCCCAUACACAAACACACACACAGUCCCCACGAACACAACACCACUGACAAUCCACAUACACAUACACAACCCCACAUGCAGCCUCACACAUGCAAUACCAUAAGCAGCCCCACACAAAUAUCACCACCAAACAUACAAUGUGGCAUACAAUCCAGACAUACAAUUCCACAAGUGGCCCACAUUCAUA